UGGGGAAUCUUCCGCAAUGGACGAAAGUCUGACGGAGCAACGCCGCGUGAGUGAUGAAGGAUUUCGGUCUGUAAAGCUCUGUUGUUUAUGACGAACGUGCAGUGUGUGAACAAGGCAUUGCAAUGACGGUAGUAAACGAGGAAGCCACGGCUAACUACGUGCCAGCAGCCGCGGUAAUACGUAGGUGGCGAGCGUUGUCCGGAAUUAUUGGGCGUAAAGAGCAUGUAGGCGGCUUAAUAAGUCGAGCGUGAAAAUGCGGGGCUCAACCCCGUAUGGCGCUGGAAACUGUUAGGCUUGAGUGCAGGAGAGGAAAGGGGAAUUCCCAGUGUAGCGGUGAAAUGCGUAGAUAUUGGGAGGAACACCAGUGGCGAAGGCGCCUUUCUGGACUGUGUCUGACGCUGAGAUGCGAAAGCCAGGGUAGCGAACGGG
rnacentral:rRNA from 1 species